rnacentral:rRNA from 1 species
UACAGAGGGGGCAAGCGUUAUUCGGAAUUAUUGGGCGUAAAGGGCGCGUAGGCGGCCUGGCAAGUGGAUGGUGAAAUCCCUCGGCUUAACCGAGGAACUGCCAUCCAGACUGCUUGGCUUGAGACCGGGAGAGGUGAGUGGAAUUCCCAGUGUAGCGGUGAAAUGCGUAGAUAUCUGGAAGAACACCAAUGGCGAAGGCAACCUCCUGGGCCUGAAUUGACACUGAGACACGAAAGCGUGGGGAUCAAACAGG